CAAUACCGCGAGGUGGAGCAAAACUUCAAAAAUGGUCUCAGUUCGGACUGUAGGCUGCAACUCGCCUACACGAAGUUGGAAUUGCUAGUAAUCGUGGAUCAGCAUGCCACGGUGAAUACGUUCCCGGGUCUUGUACACACCGCCCGUCACACCAUGGGAGCUGGUAACACCCGAAGUCAGUAGUCUAACCGCAAGGAGGACGCUGCCGAAGGUGGGAUUAGCGACUGGGGUGAAGUCGUAACAAGGUAGC
rnacentral:rRNA from 1 species